UUCAGACGAUGCGUCAUGCAUAUCAAUAAGCGGAGGAAAAGAAACUAACAAGGAUUCCCUUAGUAACGGCGAGUGAAGCGGGAAGAGCUCAAAUUUGAAAUCUUCAAGGUUUUACCUUGACGAAUUGUAGUUUAAAGAAGUGUUUUCUGUUGAAGUUUUGGUAAAAGUUCUUUGGAAUAGGACAUCAUAGAGGGUGAGAAUCCCGUAUUUGACCAUUAUUUUCAGCUGUGUGAUACACUUUCAAAGAGUCGGAUUGUUUGGGAAUGCAGUCCAAAAUGGGUGGUAAAUUUCAUCUAAAGCUAAAUAUUGGCGAGAGACCGAUAGCUGAACAAGUACCGUGAGGGAAAGAUGAAAAGAACUUUGAAAAGAGAGUUAAACAGUACGUGAAAUUGUCAAAAGGGAAGCGUUUGACACCAGUGUUGUUUUCUCGAAAAUCAAUUAAAAAGAGUUAGAUUUUGUUGUGUAUUGACCUUAACAGCUUGCAUUUCAAUUUUCUUGCUUUUUUUAAUGCACUUUUCGUUUAACAAGUCAACAUCAGUUUCUUUUGUUGUAAAAAGGUCAUUGGAAGGUGGCUUUCUUUUCGGAGAAAGUGUUUAUAGCCUUUGACUCCUGCAAUCGGAGAGACUGAGGUCUGCAGCGUAGAUCCUUCGGGGUUAGAUACAUUUGUGCUAAGUUAUAGCUUUUUAUAGACAACUUGUUGACUAUGAUUAGUCUUGUAGCUUACUCGCUUAUGCUAUUUUACCUACGCUUAGGAUGUUGAGUCGUAGAGCACGCAG
rnacentral:rRNA from 1 species